GCAGCACUCACCUAGGGGUCACUGAGGAUUUGGUUCAAGUCACAGUGCCUUUUCUGUCAGUGGUCUUCACUUGCUUUAUCUAGGAUCUGAGGAGCAGGAGCAAGGAACUCAGGGAGAGAUCCAGGAAGACUCUGACUGUGUUAAGAGAGGACAGACACAGGACACGGGAGCGAGGACACUUGCAGCAAAGUAAAAUGACUUCACAACUAUUGCAUCAGAGCUGCAGGUGUGAGAGAGCCUAAGCCUGUCUCAGAGUGCAGGGGACAAGAGGAAAGGAAUGCGUUCCGAGGAGAGAAUUCAGCGGUGCAGCAUCCUCUCCGAGCUCUAUGAGUUAAUCGGCUGCCACUGCAAGUCCGCCUUCUUCAAGCGGGUGGCCCCCGUGCAGCGCUCGGCCCACCGGUAA
ensembl:lncRNA